GAGACCACAUUGUGAAGACAUUGUAUCCUUGCAUCCAGCUGAAUACCUGCAAAAAAUGGCUUCCUUCAAGUUAUCAGUGAUUGCCUUUCUGGCUAUUGGGCUUUAUCUGGACACAGUAUCUGCUAAAGGAGUCAAUUCUCUAGUUGAAUCAAUUCUAGCGAGUGAUGAUGCGGCAGAGAUUGCUAAAGAUCUUGAUGAUAUUGAACAGAGUGAUUUGAUGAUGGCACUGGGACAAGCAAUGAAGAAAGUUGAAAACAGUGACGAAAUGAAGGCACUAGGUGAAGCAAUUAAGAAGCUUCAAAACAAUGAGGAGGGGGCUAAACUAAUUGCAUCAGCUGAAGCGAUGUAAGUAUUCUUUACCAAGUAAUCUCCAAAAAAAUAUUAAGCAGACCUUCCUCUACUUAAGCUACCACUGCUGAAGCAAUAUGAUCAUAAUCCUUGCGACUGCAAAGAAAUUAGAUGACUUUUAUGGUAGCGUAAAUCAAGAAGUAUCAAGGAAAUCUUAAAAUUGUAAACUCUUUUUCAUUCACAGAUUGACAGAUGAACUUAAAGUGUAAGAGUCCCCAGUCUCACUCCUUUCUUAUCUAUCAUUCUAUAUUCUACCAUUCAUAAUGUUUCUAUCUCUGCAAGAACUACUGAGGAGAUCUAAUGAAACCAUAAAUGUAUCUGUAAUUAUAUCUUAUCUUUACAGACCUCAAGUUGAAGCCAUUACGAAGUGUAUAAAAACAACUAAUUAGAUCCUAGAAGUCCACUUUCAACAGCGGAGCCCUAGAGGCUUCGUCUCGACAACUAUUUCCUGCCUCCUUCAUAUAUUCACGUCUCCAUGGUGACCAGAAACCAUAUGCUUUCAUGUUCUUUCUCUUUUCUCAAGAUAACAAAAUAAAGACUUCCUUGCAUUCAUCUGCUGUGCCUUUUGUGGAAUAAUUUUUGACAACUUUAUUGCAUAGUUGUAAAAUUAAUUAUGGUCCCUCAUCUUCCUGUUUUUUGCGCUGCCUUGAAGCUAAGGCGCAGUCACACUAGCCUAUGAGCUUCUCAAUCUGAACCAAUCAGAGAGCUAGGGAGGACUGCCAGGAACGCAGGCUGCCACAUGCUGCAGGCUCUCAUUGUCACAUCUGCCUGUUUAUUCCCCGGACAGGCCCUCUACUGGUCUGCCUCCCAUCGGCCCAUCGCCACUAAUCACACCUCUGGUGGCGUUAUCGAAACCAUCGCCACUCUGACUGUUACCGAACCAUCGCCUCUCUGACUAUCAGCCCGUUAUUGAGCCAUCGCCUCUCUGACUAUCAGCCCGUUACUGAACCAUCGCCUCUCUGACUAUCAGCACAUAACCUAUCCAUCGCCUCUCUGACUAUCAGCCCGUUAUUGAGCCAUCGCCUCUCUGACUAUCAGCCCGUUACUGAACCAUCGCCUCUCUGACUAUCAGCCCGUUACUGAACCAUCGCCUCUCUGACUAUCAGCACAUAACCAAACCAUCGCCUCUCUGACUAUCAGCCCGUUAUUGAGCCAUCGCCUCUCUGACUAUCAGCACAUAAGCAAACCAUGGCCUCUCUGACUAUCAGCCCGUUAUUGAACCAUCGCCUCUCUGACUAUCAGCUUGUUACUGAACCAUCGCCUCUCUGACUAUCAGCCCGUUACCGAACCAUCGCCUCUCUGACUAUCAGCCCGUUAUUGAACCAUCGCCUCUCUGACUAUCAGCACAUAACCAAACCAUGGCCUCUCUGACUAUCAGCCCGUUACUGGACCAUCGCCUCUCUGACUAUCAGCCCGUUACCGAACCAUCGCCUCUCUGACUAUCAGCCCGUUACUGGACCAUCGCCUAUCUGACUACUAGCUUGUUACUGGACCAAAUGAAAGAUGCUUCAUUUGAAAUGUUUAAAACCGUUAACCUGUAAAUUGUUAUUGAAAUGACAUUACAAAUUAC
ensembl:lncRNA